CAGAUACCCUGCAGGAAUAAUAAGCUGGCCAAAGGAUGAGAUACAGACCACAGAUGUUAAGACGCAAAAGCUCCUAACCAUGCACGGAGAGUUCCACCCCAAAUCCAGCACUCUGAGACUGUACGCUAGCCGGAAGGAAGGAGGCCGAGGACUAGUGAGCAUGAGAGCCACUAUCCAGGAUGAAACAUCCAAGAUCCAUAAGUACAUCAAGGACAAGGCUCCAACAGAUGACGUGCUCAGUGAAUGUCUCAGACAAUGGGGAACAGAAGAUGAGGUGCUGGAGGUUCCGUCAUGGGAGGACAAGCCCCUACACGGGAUGUCCCACCGAAACAUAACUGAAGUGGUGGAUAUCAAGAAAUCCUACCAAUGGCUAGACAGAGCCGGACUAAACGACAGCACAGAGGCACUAAUCAUGGCUGCACAGGAGCAGGCCUUGAGCACCAGAGCAAUAGAGGCCCAGAUAUAUCACACCAGACAAGACCCCAGGUGUACACUGUGCAAAGAGGCCAAUGAGACAAUCCAGCACAUAACUGCAGGGUGUAAGAUGCUGGAAGGGAAAGCUUACAUGGAGCACCAUAACCAAGUAACUGGUAUAGUAUACAGGAACAUCUGUGCAGAGUAUGGGCUGGAAACCCCAAGGUCAAAGUGGGAAACACCUCCAAAGGUGGUAGAAAAUGACCGAGCCAAGAUCCUGUGGGACUUCCAGAUAAAGACGGACAGAAUGGUAAUGGAGAACCAACCCGACAUUGUGGUGGUGGACAAAGCGCAGAGGAAAACCGUUGUGGUCGACAUAGCAAUACCAAGCGACUUCAACAUCAGGAAAAAGGAAUACGAGAAACUAGAGAAAUACCAGGGGCUCAGAGAAGAGUUGGAGAAAACCUGGAGGGUGAAGGCAUCAGUGGUGCCCGUGGUCAUUGGGGCACUCUGGGCAGUGACCCCCAAACUGGAGGAGUGGCUCCAGCAGAUCCCAGGAAAUACAUCAGACAUCUCGGUCCAGAAAAGUGCAGUUCUAGGAACAGCAAAGAUACUGCGCAGAACCCUCAAGCUCCCAGGCCCCUGGUAGAGGACCCGAGCUUGGAGAAAAAAAGAGACCGCCCGCGGAGGGUGAGGAAGAGUUUUUUUUUUAUAUAUUCAAUCCAACUAUACAGAAGUACCACCAAUUUAAACCAACGAACCACCUUAUAGAUUGUUUAACCCACCCACCUACAAACUAAGUCAAUGACUAAUAAACUAACAUCUUUUUUGAAGUUCAGCAGAAAUAAACCCCCCCCCAAAAAAAAACCAUGUUGGUGUUACUUAUUACUCUUCCUCUGCUGCUCUCUUCUUUUCAGAUUUAUCAUUAUGACACACUGUACUAUUACCUCAACGGGC
rnacentral:lncRNA from 1 species